rnacentral:rRNA from 1 species
GGCUCAGAACGAACGCUGGCGGCGCGCUUAACACAUGCAAGUCUCAGGGGUCCCGCAAGGGAUCACUGGCGGACGGGUGAGUAACACGUGAGUAAUCAUCCUUCGAGUGUGGAAUAACCUGCCGAAAGGCGGGCUAAUACCGCAUAACACUCCCUGAACCACGGUUCGGGGAUUCAAAGCCGGGGACCGCAAGGCCUGGCGCUUGAAGACGAGCUCGCGUCCGAUUAGCUAGUUGGUGAGGUAAUGGCUCACCAAGGCUUCGAUCGGUAGCCGAUCUGAGAGGAUGACCGGCCACACUGGCACUGCGACACGGGCCAGACUCCUACGGGAGGCAGCAGUGGGGAAUCUUGGGCAAUGGGCGAAAGCCUGACCCAGCGACGCCGCGUGAAGGAUGAAGGUCUUCGGAUUGUAAACUUCUGUGAGGACAGAAAAAGGGUGCAUCCAUUAAUACCGGAUGCAUUUGAUAGUAUGUCCAGAGGAAGCCCCGGCUAACUCCGUGCCAGCAGCCGCGGUAAUACGGAGGGGGCUAGCGUUGUUCGGAAUUACUGGGCGUAAAGGGCGCGUAGGCGGCUUGCUAAGUCGGUGGUGAAAUCCCGUGGCUCAACUACGGAACUGCCAUCGAUACUGGCGAGCUUGAAUCCGGGAUAGGUCGGCGGAAUUGCUGGUGUAGCGGUGAAAUGCGUAGAUAUCAGCAGGAACACCGAUGGCGAAGGCAGCUGGCUGGACCGGUAUUGACGCUGAGGCGCGAAAGCGUGGGUAGCAAACAGGAUUAGAUACCCUGGUAGUCCACGCCCUAAACGAUGGAUACUUGGUGUGACCGGCGCAGUGCCGGUUGUGCCGCAGCUAACGCAGUAAGUAUCCCGCCUGGGGAGUACGAUCGCAGGAUUGAAACUC